rnacentral:rRNA from 1 species
UACAGAGGGUGCGAGCGUUAAUCGGAAUUACUGGGCGUAAAGCGUGCGUAGACGGUUAUUUAAGUCGGGUGUGAAAGCCCCGGGCUCAACCUGGGAAUUGCAUUCGAGACUGAAUAGCUAGAGUACGGUAGAGGGAAGUGGAAUUUCCGGUGUAGCGGUGAAAUGCGUAGAUAUCGGAAGGAACAUCAGUGGCGAAAGCGACUUCCUGGACCAGUACCGACGUUCAGGCACGAAAGCGUGGGGAGCAAACAGG